UCCGCCGGGGCUGGAUUAGAAGCUCUGCCCAGAAAUGCCCUCCUUAAGCAUCCCGGUUAUCCUCGCCCCCUCUUAAGGUGUUAAUUAGGGACACAAGUCGGGCACCGAGGGAGGGGAAACAAACCAAGAAAAGGGGAAUAAACAUCCCUUUGGAUUAGCGGGGAUGCGUUUGAAGGAGCGCAGGGCAUGGGGAACCCACACCUUCCACCUGGACCACCUGGAUUUUGCUCUUCCCCUCCCGAGGGAGAUCAAGGUUUGCCCGCAGCUGAAAGGCUCGGGACAAAGAGCAGCUCCAGCAGCUCCAGCAGCCACAAAGGUUUUCACCUGCUCCCUCUGUUUCAUCUUCCCGAGCCGAAAGGGGAGGGAUUCUGCUCCGUGUCAGGAGAGCUUGGGAUGGAAGUGGUUUCUGAAAGAACUUAGGAAGAAAAUGAGAAGAAAAUAGGAUUUGCUUCCCUGAAAUCUCUCUGGCAAAAACUGUGCUGUAUCCCAUCCUUCCCUCCUUGGAAGUUGAAUUCCUUUAUGCCACGACUGUCCCCGAGUGCAGAAGAGAGGCUUUCCAAUGAUCCACCUCCUGGGAAUCUGCAUCCACAGCACAGGAAAAUCAUUUCUGGAAAACCAUGGAGGGAUUCAAUGGGUUUUGGAUGGUUUUUUCCCUUCAAACCUUCUGUGUUUAUCCAGACACUGGAAUCCUGGGGGGUCUGGGAUGCUGGGUUGGUAUUUUUAGUUGAGAGGUGCAGAGGAAGAGUCCAGAAAGGGCUGAAAGACCCCAGAGCCCCUUCUAGUGCCUAAAGGGAGAGAUGGAAAGGGACUUUGGAGAGCACAGGUGGGAAUGGCUUCAAACUGACA